AUUGAACGCUGGCGGCAGGCCUAACACAUGCAAGUCGAGCGGAUGAAGGGAGCUUGCUCCUGGAUUCAGCGGCGGACGGGUGAGUAAUGCCUAGGAAUCUGCCUGGUAGUGGGGGAUAACGUCCGGAAACGGGCGCUAAUACCGCAUACGUCCUGAGGGAGAAAGUGGGGGAUCUUCGGACCUCACGCUAUCAGAUGAGCCUAGGUCGGAUUAGCUAGUUGGUGGGGUAAAGGCCUACCAAGGCGACGAUCCGUAACUGGUCUGAGAGGAUGAUCAGUCACACUGGAACUGAGACACGGUCCAGACUCCUACGGGAGGCAGCAGGGGGGAAUAUUGGACAAUGGGCGAAAGCCUGAUCCAGCCAUGCCGCGUGUGUGAAGAAGGUCUUCGGAUUGUAAAGCACUUUAAGUUGGGAGGAAGGGCAGUAAGUUAAUACCUUGCUGUUUUGACGUUACCAAAAGAAUAAGCACCGGCUAACUUCGU
rnacentral:rRNA from 1 species